AAUUAACUUUUGCCAUACUGCCAAUGUUGGAUGAGUUGAGAAAACACUGUCGGUGAAACAGUACCUGUCUACUGAUCUAUAUAUAUACAGUGAAGCUACUGCACCGCCAUCUUUGUAUUCCAUAACAUUCUGUAUUCCUAUGGGUCUCAAUGGGAAAUCAUCUGUUUUGCAGCAUUACCUUCAGUGACGUACGGGUUACCUCAGUAGAAACAAGUUUAAGAAACUGAGUGCAGGCCUGAAUACGGCCCAACUCACUGGCAUGAUUUCUAAAGUGGUCAAUCGUUAUUGAUGAGGAGCACAUUAAUAUUGUAGAAGUUAAGGUAAGUUUGCAGUUUGGAUUUCAUUAAUCAUCCAACUGAAUGUUAGAUAAAACCGGAAUUGAUUUGCAACAGGAGGAAAAGCUGUAUGACUUCACUGAAGAGCUGUUUUAACAGGUAAGACAACAGACAACAAUAACUGAGUAAAAAAGAUGAUGUUAUAUGUUUUUAUUUGCAAUGAAGAUACUUUUGCAACAUGCAGUAUAGCAAUAGUCUUAUAAAAUGACUGUUUCAGAUAGUUAUAACUUUUAAUGUUAAUAGAAAAAUUGAUCCAAAAAUCUAAAUUCUGUCAUCAUUUACUCAACCUCAUGUCCUUCCAAAUCCAUGUGACUUUCUUUUGCAGAACCCAAAAAAAGGUAUUUUAUAUUCCAUAUAAAGAAAGUAAAUGGUGAGCAAAAUAGCUUGUUUUGAUCACCAUCGACUUUCAUUAUAUGGACAAAAACAUUCUUUAAAAUAUCAUCUUUUAUGUUCCACAGAAAAAGUCAUACAGGUUUGGAAGUACAUGAGUUUGAGUAAAUAGCUGUGUGUAAGGUCUUACGUAAGUUGGGAUGUAAAGUUCACACUAAGGGCUUAGUAACUACUAGUUAGUUUGUAACUAAGUCAGUGCUUAAUUUGGUUGCACCACCUGUUCUUAAGGCAAGAUUUAACUAGUAGGUUUUAAGCUCUCUGUAAAGCGUAGUCGCAUAAUAUGACGUUUACCUAUAUUGAUCCAAUAAGCAGCCUUCAAAUUUGUACACAGAAGUGUUAAAAAGCCGUGAAUUUCAGUUUGAUCUUGUUACGGUUGAUGUUCAAACCUUAUUUGCUCAUGUAACUGUCAGCUGUAAUAAAUUAUAUCCCCAUUAAAAUAUGAUACGUAAUAAAAGUAGACCUGAUAAAUAGUAUAUUUGCCCUGUGUAAAUAACAUAUAUGAACUUAAUCUAAAAUAAAUGAGGGGUGAUAAAUAAAUACUAAUACAACAGGCUGGAAAAACAGACAUUUAUUAAUUUUAAUAUCCUAUAUAUAUUUUGAAUGUUGAAACUUGACACCGGGCGACGCAUCCUGAAAACUGCACCGUUUGAAUGGUUUCAUGCUGAAGAGACGCUUAAAAGUAAGUUUUUUUUUUUCUCUCUCGUAAAUGUCAACAUCAUACUGUAUGUCGAAAUGAUUGAUGCCUGUCAAGCAAAACAUGAGCUCAUUGAUGUCAUAAAAUAUCAGUCUGCUUUUUUAUUCCAUCCGUUACUCCUGGUCGGAGUCUUCUGUAAAUAUUUAGUUUAUACGUAGGGUUACGUUUAAUGAUGCAAUGCUCAAAUAUUUAGUAGAGCGUAAAUUGUGACUUAGUGCCCAUUUACGCCACAACUAGGCUAAGUUAUAACCGGCCCCUGAUCUUUAUAUCUUACUGAUUUUUUUUUUUUUGCAGUAAAAGCUUGCCCAGAGUUUUCCUCAGCCGUUUGGAGUGUGAUGCAGCACGUUUCCUUGGCAAUGAAUUGGAGCCUGAUGUUAGUGCGGCUUUCUGCAAUGCACUUGAUGAUUCUGCAAUGCAAGUAUGAUGAUUGUUGUAUGGUUCUAGGUUGAACGUGUGCCUCAAGUUCCUUGAAAUCAGAACCAACAUGGAGUUCCAGAACCUUUGUGGAGACCCUGGAUUUAAAUUUGGUGUCAAAUUCAGAGAUGGGCCUUAUGAGUGUGUGCUGUUUAAUACAUUUCUCAGCUGUCUUGCAGACUUUCAGGACACUGUCUGAUGGUCUGGUAAGUCCACAUCAGUGUGUUCAUCUUGGGAAGAGCUCUCGACACUGAGUGCUGAUAUAGAGGCUUAACGUCACUUUGCCUGAAAUGCCAGCAUAUCAGAAGGUGUUGCCUCCAGUCCCACUGUGCUAACCGGUGGAGAACAGUUCCCACUAGCUCUGAUGGCAUGUCUUGCUACAAUUCUUUUGAAAGCUGACUUAAAUUGCUUUACUGCGGGAUUGUUAUUAAAUCCAUUAGCAGAU